UACGUAGGGUCCGAGCGUUGUCCGGAAUUAUUGGGCGUAAAGGGCUCGUAGGCGGUCUGUUGCGUCGGGAGUGAAAACUUACAGCUUAACUGUGAGCGUGCUUCCGAUACGGGCAGACUUGAGGUAUUCAGGGGAGAACGGAAUUCCUGGUGUAGCGGUGAAAUGCGCAGAUAUCAGGAGGAACACCGGUGGCGAAGGCGGGUCUCUGGGCAGUAACUGACGCUGAGGAGCGAAAGCGUGGGGGAGCGAACAGG
rnacentral:rRNA from 1 species